rnacentral:rRNA from 1 species
GACGAACGCUGGCGGCGUGCUUAACACAUGCAAGUCGAACGGAAAGGCCCCUUUGGUGGUCCUCUAGUGGCGAACGGGUGCGUAACACGUACGUAACCUGCCCUUGCCUUCGGGAUAACUUUAGCAAACUGGGGCUAAUACCGGUUAGGAAUCCUUUCUGCAUGGUGGUGGUUGGAAAGCUUCGGCGGUUUUGGCUGUACUCGCGGCGUAUCAGCUUGUUGGUGUGGUAGUGGCUUACCAAGGCUUUGACGGGUAGCCGGCCUGAGAGGGCGACCGGCGACAUUGGGACUGAGAUACGGCCCAGACGCCUACGGGAGGCAGCAGUGGGGAAGAUUGAACAAGGGGCGGAAGCCGGAUGCAGAAACGCCGCGGGCGGGAUGACGGCCUUAGGGUUGAAAACCGAUUUCAGCAGGGGCGAAGCUUGUGGUGACGGUACCUGCAGAAGAAGCACCGGCUAACUACGUG